rnacentral:sRNA from 19 species
ACGUCACGAUUAAUGAGGCGUUCAUCCUGACUGAGAAUCAGGCACUGAACGGGGAGUAUUCCAUCGCCGUGCUGAGCACGUAGCUAACUCCUGCAAAAACUCAACACAACCCGCGCCCUGCUACACAUUAUCUGACG